AUUUAUUUCUGGAGACUCAGAUAGAAUGUCACAUGAUUCGACAAUCCUUAUUGUAUCAUUCUUGGUGUUCAAAUAUAGGAGAAAAGUGUCCAACUAGACAAGAAAAUGUAAACAAAGAAAAAAGUGGUGGGUGGAGGAACCCAUUGUCAAAGUUGGUGUACUCGUUUUAGAAAGCAACGACAAGCUAGAAUACAAUGUUAACUAUUUUUCCUUUCCUCUGAUGCGACUACAACCAACUCAACCACAGAUAAUUUACAUAGAUACAUAUGUUUGUCUUUGCGCUCAAGUAAACUGAGAAUAACAGAGGGCAGCCCUCCCAUUUGGCCAAUUGCAAUGACAGAAAUUGGGAACAAUACCUGAAUGUCUCCCAAACUCUAGCUCCAAGUAUCAUAGUGAGGUCAAGUUGAGCUUAUUUUUCUCACUUUAUUCAUGGAUUUGACUUAUAUGUACGUAUAAUACAAAGAAUUUUGACACUAAUGUAUUUUAUCUUCUAUGACUAGUAGAUUAACUCUAUUGGUUUAGUUAGUAUUAAUGAAAUUGCUAAAAAAAACAAUAAACUAAAUGUUAAAUGUGUAGUCUGGGUAGAAACUUUGACUCUUUUUCUUAUUUUAGAAUCAGUACUUUUAUUGUAGAAUUCUUGCCAGGUUGAGUGUCUUAUCUAAGUAGUAGUUUGAGGGUUGUCAUCUUAAACUUUGUUCCCGG
rnacentral:lncRNA from 1 species